rnacentral:misc_RNA from 1 species
GAUGAAGAACGUAGCGAAACGCGAUAAGUAAUGUGAAUUGCAGAAUUCAGUGAAUCAUCGAAUCUUUGAACGCACCUUGCGCCCUUUGGCCAUUCCGAAGGGCAUGCCUGUUUGAGUAUCAUGAACACCUCAACUCUUUAUGGUUUUCCAUGAUGAGCUUGGACUCUGGGGGUUUUGCUGGCUCACAGUCGGCUCCUCUAAAAUGAAUCAGCUUACCAGUGUUUGGUGGGUAUCAUGGGUGUGAUAACUAUCUACGCUUGUGGUUUUUCCACCAGGUAACCUUCAGCAGUGGAGGUUCGCUGGAGCUCAUAGAUGUCUCUCCUCAGUGAGGACAGCCCUUUGAAUGUUUGAUCUCAAAUCAGGUAGGACUACCCGCUGAACUUAAGCAUAUCAAUAAGCGGAGGA